CAUGCCGUAAACGAUGAUCACUAGCUGUUUGCGAUAUAAAGUAAGUGGCAAAGGGAAACCAUUAAGUGAUCCACCUGGGGAGUACGCCCGCAAGGGUGAAACUCAAAGGAAUUGACGGGGGCCCGCACAAGCGGAGGAACAUGUGGUUUAAUUCGAUGAUACGCGAGGAACCUUACCUGGAUUUAAAUGGGGAGUGACAGACUUAGAGAUAGGUUUUUCUUCGGACACUCUUCAAGGUGC
rnacentral:rRNA from 1 species